rnacentral:lncRNA from 1 species
CAAUUGGUGGGUACGUAGUGGAAUUUUAUGCUAUUAAUUUCUCCUUUAAGGCUGUCAAUUUCAUAGCUUUGCUUGCUAACUUACGCACAACUGCAUUCUAUUAUUUUGGAUUGAAAAGUUCCUUUGUAUUUUCUUUUACUUCAAUCUUUCCAAGUUUCAAAUCCCAAUCAAGGGCUCUGAAACCUAAGGUAUGUCGAGAGAGAGAGAGAGAGAGCCGGGCAUGGCAGUGAUGUAUCAGCCGCAGCUUGGGCCGCCGUUUACUUUUAUGUAUAUCCGUCUCUGCAGCGGCAUGUGUUGUAAAUUGGGGGCCACCACAACCAGCUAAGGCAGUGUGCCAAUUGCCAUUGCAUGACCCAUUAGCUUAUGCCGUGGGCCAUUUUACUCGUUAAACACAUUUAUAUUGCCAACCUAUUAAACUAAAGUCGAUCUCACUGCUACAUUAAUUCUCUCUUCUUCGGUGUAAACCUGUGGCUGUGAUGAAAUCGAUCAUGUGUUAAAGGGGUGCAUUUUCAGGAGUCAUGGACUUCACUGUUAAAGUUCAACCACCAAGGGCAGCUCCGGAAUGCAUGAUGGAUUGAUGGUGUGGUGGGGUAAAGGCUCAACACUCCCUCGUAUGCUUGCUAGAAAUUCCUGGUUUUGGCCCCCACAAACCAAAUGGUUCUUCUUCUUACUAAGUCUUUCGUUUUUUUUUUGUUUUUGUUUUUCC